UACGUAGGGUGCGAGCGUUAAUCGGAAUUACUGGGCGUAAAGGGCGCGUAGGCGGUCCUGAUCGUCGGAUGUGAAAGGCCUGGGCUCAACCUGGGAACUGCAUCCGAUACGGCGGGACUGGAGUGUGGGAGAGGUUGGUGGAAUUCCCAGUGUAGAGGUGAAAUUCGUAGAUAUUGGGAAGAACACCGGUGGCGAAGGCGGCCAACUGGACCACAACUGACGCUGAGGCGCGAAAGCGUGGGGAGCAAACAGG
rnacentral:rRNA from 1 species